GCAGUAGUGGUUCAGAGGUAGAAUUUUCACCUUCCAUGUGGGAGAACUGGGUUCGAUUCCCAGCCAAUGCA
rfam:Loxodonta africana unplaced genomic scaffold scaffold_83, whole genome shotgun sequence.